UGGAGCUUGCGGUUUAAUUGGAUUCCAACGCCGGAAAUCUUACCGGGACCGACAGCAAUAUGAAGGCCAGGCUGAAGACUUUGCCGGAUUAGCUGAGAGGUGGUGCAUGGCCGUCGUCAGUUCGUACCGUGAAGCAUCCUGUUAAGUCAGGCAACGAGCGAGACCCACGCCCACAGUUGCCAGCGUACUCUCUGGAGUGACGGGUACACUGUGGGGACCGCCGCUGCUAAAGCGGAGGAAGGAAUGGGCAACGGUAGGUCAGUAUGCCCCGAAUAUCCCGGGCUACACGCGAGCUACAAUGGUUGGUACAAUGGGUAUCUACCCCGAAAGGGGACGGGAAUCUCCUAAAACCAAUCUUAGUUCGGAUUGAGGGCUGCAACUCGCCCUCAUGAAGCUGGAAUCCGUAGUAAUCGCGUUUCAACAGAACGCGGUGAAUACGUCCCUGCUCCUU
rnacentral:rRNA from 1 species